CAAGGGCUUUCCAAAUGGAGUUGACCAUGAGAAGAAAGGAAAAAGCGACAGUUUGCUGAAGAAAGCUUCUUUACCUGGUUUUCUUAUGCUCAGCAGAAAGAUGACAUGGAUGAAAUUCACGAUGAGGUAGCAGAGAUUAUCAAGGAGGAUUUAUGGCCCAAUC